rnacentral:rRNA from 1 species
UCAGGACGAACGCUGGCGGCGUGCCUAAUACAUGCAAGUCGAACGAACUCUGGUAUUGAUUGGUGCUUGCAUCAUGAUUUACAUUUGAGUGAGUGGCGAACUGGUGAGUAACACGUGGGAAACCUGCCCAGAAGCGGGGGAUAACACCUGGAAACAGAUGCUAAUACCGCAUAACAACUUGGACCGCAUGGUCCGAGUUUGAAAGAUGGCUUCGGCUAUCACUUUUGGAUGGUCCCGCGGCGUAUUAGCUAGAUGGUGGGGUAACGGCUCACCAUGGCAAUGAUACGUAGCCGACCUGAGAGGGUAAUCGGCCACAUUGGGACUGAGACACGGCCCAAACUCCUACGGGAGGCAGCAGUAGGGAAUCUUCCACAAUGGACGAAAGUCUGAUGGAGCAACGCCGCGUGAGUGAAGAAGGGUUUCGGCUCGUAAAACUCUGUUGUUAAAGAAGAACAUAUCUGAGAGUAACUGUUCAGGUAUUGACGGUAUUUAACCAGAAAGCCACGGCUAACUACGUGCCAGCAGCCGCGGUAAUACGUAGGUGGCAAGCGUUGUCCGGAUUUAUUGGGCGUAAAGCGAGCGCAGGCGGUUUUUUAAGUCUGAUGUGAAAGCCUUCGGCUCAACCGAAGAAGUGCAUCGGAAACUGGAAAACUUGAGUGCAGAAGAGGACAGUGGAACUCCAUGUGUAGCGGUGAAAUGCGUAGAUAUAUGGAAGAACACCAGUGGCGAAGGCGGCUGUCUGGUCUGUAACUGACGCUGAGGCUCGAAAGUAUGGGUAGCAAACAGGAUUAGAUACCCUGGUAGUCCAUACCGUAAACGAUGAAUGCUAAGUGUUGGAGGGUUUCCGCCCUUCAGUGCUGCAGCUAACGCAUUAAGCAUUCCGCCUGGGGAGUACGGCCGCAAGGCUGAAACUCAAAGGAAUUGACGGGGGCCCGCACAAGCGGUGGAGCAUGUGGUUUAAUUCGAAGCUACGCGAAGAACCUUACCAGGUCUUGACAUACUAUGCAAAUCUAAGAGAUUAGACGUUCCCUUCGGGGACAUGGAUACAGGUGGUGCAUGGUUGUCGUCAGCUCGUGUCGUGAGAUGUUGGGUUAAGUCCCGCAACGAGCGCAACCCUUAUUAUCAGUUGCCAGCAUUAAGUUGGGCACUCUGGUGAGACUGCCGGUGACAAACCGGAGGAAGGUGGGGAUGACGUCAAAUCAUCAUGCCCCUUAUGACCUGGGCUACACACGUGCUACAAUGGAUGGUACAACGAGUUGCGAACUCGCGAGAGUAAGCUAAUCUCUUAAAGCCAUUCUCAGUUCGGAUUGUAGGCUGCAACUCGCCUACAUGAAGUCGGAAUCGCUAGUAAUCGCGGAUCAGCAUGCCGCGGUGAAUACGUUCCCGGGCCUUGUACACACCGCCCGUCACACCAUGAGAGUUUGUAACACCCAAAGUCGGUGGGGUAACCUUUUAGGAACCAGCCGCCUAAGGUGGGACAGAUGAUUAGGGUGAAGUCGU